UAAACCCCCGUGUCCUACCAAGUUUAAUUACUAUCCUCCUCCUCCUCCUCUUCUUCUUCUUCUUCUUCUUCUUCUCAAGUUCUAAGCCACAAAAAACAAUGGCUGAAAAUGAUCCCUUUUGCUACCCUUAUCAUAUUGAUUAUUGCAUGCCUCAAGAGAAAUGGUCUAAGGGACUUGAUCAGCAUUCAGAAACUCUUCCUAGAAAUUCUAGGAAGGGAGCUGGUUCCACAUCAGAGAAGCCACUUGAUGCAAAGACAUUGAGACAUUUGGCUCAAAACAGAGAGGCUGCAAGAAAAAGCCAUCUAUGGAAAAAGGCUUAUGUGCAGCAAUUAGAGUAAAGUAGAUUAAAGCUUACACAACUUGAACAGGACCUUCAAAGAGUUCAUUCUCAGCUCUUUUUGUUCCUAAUCUAACUUGAAGGUGGAGAUUAUAGAGUUUCAAAGCAGUUGAUAUCACUGUACCUGAUGGCUCCAACCUUCAGGGGUGGUCGUGGUGGUGGAAGGGACAGCAGCGGUGGUGGUAGGGGUACGAAGAUGGAUGCGGUGGCGAUGGCGGCUAUGGUGGUGGAGAAGUCUAAGGCAGCAUGGGUCCACUGUCGUGCAUGCUACAGCCGUGUUGGAAUGGGUCAAGGAUUGCAACCAGAGAGGAGGCAGAUGCAGAGGUAGGUUCGGGGCGUUUGUGCCGGCAGAAGCUGCUACAACUAUAGGCAUUUAUGGGCAUUUUGCAACAGACUGCCCAACAAGCUCUAUGAGAAAAUGAAAGUAGCAGCACCAGAUCACUCUCAAGAGACGCGCUCCCACCUAGGGGUAUUUCUUUUUUCUUUUUCCAAUGACAGAUUCGUAAUGGUUUGCGAUGAUGAGUUGUGUGUGUUCCUUACUAUUUGAUCUGCUGUAAAUGUCUGUAGUGUUGUUGUGAGGCGUCCUUCUCCGUUGAUGCCGAAAAUCCACCGUUGAUGCAGAAAAUUCAGAACCGUUAUAUUGUUGCCAGGAUUCUAAUUGCCCUUCACCAAAAGGUGAAUCUGAUCAGAAUAAAUUGAAAGGAGUUAAGUUUACCUACUGGCAGCAAGUAGCAACUAUACGCCUGGUUCAUCCUGCACCACCUGCUCUGCCUUUUUACUUUGUGCUUUGGCAUCGUUAGAAAGUUAUUGCAGAAUCUUCUUCCUCUUAUUAUUAUUACAUUCAGGUUUUCUUCUUCUUAUUAUUAUUCGAUUUAUUGGCUAAAACAUUUGAGAUUGGUUAGCACCCGAGUUUUUAGAUAAAUUUGAACUAUGGAUAUAAUUGAGUUUGAGGAAAAACUGUUCCCGGAAGUGAUGCUCAGGUAAGAAGAUUGAAUAUAUCUUCAAUGAUGAGUGGUAAUUGCAUUGACUAUAUUGUCUCUUUUUUAUUCUUAUAGUCUUUAUGGUAAUUUAAGAGUUAUGAUGGAUGAUAUUUUAUUUUGGGUUUCAUUAGGUUAUGAUGAAAAUUUUUAAACUUUUUAUUUUUCAGGUUAAGUCUAUAUAGAUAUGUGGAUGUCAUCUGUUUUAUCCAUAAAUAUUUUUGUCAAUAUUUAUUUUGUUUAUAAUUUUUUACUACCACGAAGACAAAUCCUUAGUUAUCAAAAUAUUUUCAUUAGUGAGCAUCAUUUGAAAAGUUUAUACUCAUUGAUGAUGAACACAAGUCAACAUAUCUUUAAUGACAGUUUUGGAAUCCAUACGGUGUCAAAUCGUGGUGAUAAUGUAUUGUACAAGUUGUAUUUUUGGGGUUGUUUAUGAUCUUUGUGAAAAAUGUC